rnacentral:rRNA from 1 species
CCUACGGGAGACAGCAGUGGGGAAUAUUGCACAAUGGGGGAAACCCUGAUGCAGCGACGCCGCGUGAGUGAAGAAGUAUUUCGGUAUGUAAAGCUCUAUCAGCAGGGAAGAAAAUGACGGUACCUGAGUAAGAAGCCCCGGCUAACUACGUGCCAGCAGCCGCGGUAAUACGUAGGGGGCAAGCGUUAUCCGGAUUUACUGGGUGUAAAGGGAGCGUAGACGGCAGCACAAGUCUGGAGUGAAAUGCCGGGGCUUAACCCCGGAACUGCUUUGGAAACUGUGCAGCUAGAGUGCAGGAGAGGUAAGUGGAAUUCCUGGUGUAGCGGUGAAAUGCGUAGAUAUUAGGCGGAACCCCAGUGGCGAAGGCGGCUUACUGGACUUUAACUGACGUUGAGGCUCGAAAGCGUGGGGAGCAAACAGGAUUAGAUACCCGAGUAGUC